CCUACGGGAGGCAGCAGUGGGGAAUAUUGGACAAUGGGCGCAAGCCUGAUCCAGCCAUGCCGCGUGAGUGAUGAAGGCCCUAGGGUUGUAAAGCUCUUUUGUGCGGGAAGAUAAUGACGGUACCGCAAGAAUCAGCCCCGGCUAACUUCGUGCCAGCAGCCGCGGUAAU
rnacentral:rRNA from 1 species